AUUGAACGCUGGCGGCAGGCCUAACACAUGCAAGUCGAGCGGUAGAGAGAAGCUUGCUUCUCUUGAGAGCGGCGGACGGGUGAGUAAUACCUAGGAAUCUGCCUGAUAGUGGGGGAUAACGUUCGGAAACGGACGCUAAUACCGCAUACGUCCUACGGGAGAAAGCAGGGGACCUUCGGGCCUUGCGCUAUCAGAUGAGCCUAGGUCGGAUUAGCUAGUUGGUGAGGUAAUGGCUCACCAAGGCUACGAUCCGUAACUGGUCUGAGAGGAUGAUCAGUCACACUGGAACUGAGACACGGUCCAGACUCCUACGGGAGGCAGCAGUGGGGAAUAUUGGACAAUGGGCGAAAGCCUGAUCCAGCCAUGCCGCGUGUGUGAAGAAGGUCUUCGGAUUGUAAAGCACUUUAAGUUGGGAGGAAGGGCAGUUAUCUAAUACGUGAU
rnacentral:rRNA from 1 species